rnacentral:lncRNA from 1 species
UGAUGUGAGCAGUUUCUUUGAGGUGAGAACCAUAAAGGAAUUUUUGACUCCUGAGGCUGGGAGCUCCAGAGAGUGCUACCUGGCCUGAGCUGGAAAUAUGAAGGCCUGGCUGAGUCUAUUCAUGGUGCUCAACUACCAAGACGGCAAGGCUGUGUCUGUGAGUAUCCUCUUGUUUGGGAUGUGCCUCCAGGUUUCUGCCUCUUCUGUAGCUUGGC